rnacentral:lncRNA from 1 species
GAUGAACAAUUUUUGAUCAAUGAUCCAUUGAGCAUAUGAGAAAUUAGAUUUAAGUGCUAAUUAAUUUUAGAUUAGAUUUGAAUUAAUGAAACUUAAUUGGAUGUAAAAUAUCAAGUUAGACUUGGUACAAAAGUCUUAAAGAGCUUAGGAUUGACAGCCUUUUAAAAUUAUUUCGAACCAGCUUCGAAUUGGAUUCGAAUCAGAUCUGUUUUGGAUGAGAUAUUA